rnacentral:rRNA from 1 species
GAUCCUGGCUCAGGAUGAACGCUAGCGGCAGGCUUAACACAUGCAAGUCGAGGGGUAACGGAUUGCUUGCAAUCCGCUGACGACCGGCGCACGGGUGCGUAACGCGUAUACAAUCUAUUUUGCUGAGGGAUUGCCCAGAGAAAUUUGGAUUAAUACCUCAUUGUAUUAUUGAUUGAUCAAUUAAUAAUUAAAGGUUACGGCAAAAGAUGAGUAUGCGUCCUAUUAGCUAGAUGGUGGUAACGGCACACCAUGGCAACGAUAGGUAGGGGCCCUGAGAGGGGGAUCCCCCACUGGUACUGAGACACGGACCAGACUCCUACGGGAGGCAGCAGUGAGGAAUAUUGGGCAAGAGGCAACUCUGACCCAGCCAUGCCGCGUGCAGGAAGACUGCCCUAUGGGUUGUAAACCUUUUAUACAGGAAGAAACAGCUCUACGUGUAGAGCCUUGACGGUACUGUAAGAAUAAAUCGGCUAACUCCGUGCCAGCAGCCGCGGUAAUACGGAGGAUCCGAGCGUUAUCCGGACAUUGGGUUUAAAGGGUCCGUAGGUGGAUUAAUAAGUCAGAGGUGAAAUCCUGCAGCUACUGUAGAACUGCCUUUGAUACUGUUAAUCUUGAGUCAUUAUGAAGUGGUUAGAAUGUAGUGUAGCGGUGAAAUGCAUAGAUAUUACACAGAAUACCGAUUGCGAAGGCAGAUCACAUAAUGUACUGACACUGAGGGACGAAAGCGUGGGGAGCGAACAGGAUUAGAUACCCUGAGUCCACGCCGUAAACGAUGGUCACUAGCUGUUCGAACUUCGGUUUGAGUGGCUAAGCAAGUGAUAAGUGACCCACCUGGGGAGUACGUUCGCAAGAAUGAAACUCAAAGGAAUUGGGGGGCCCGCACAAGCGGUGGAGCAUGUGGUUUAAUUCGAUGAUACGCGAGGAACCUUCAGGGCUUAAAUGUAGAUUGACAGGACUAGAGAUAGUUUUUCCUUCGGGCAAUUUACAGUGCUGCAUGGUUGUCGUCAGCUCGUGCCGUGAGGUGUCAGGUUAAGUCCUAUAACGAGCAACCCCUGUUGUUAGUCGCCAGCGAGUCAUGUCGGGAACUCUAACAAGACUGCCAGCAAACUGUGAGGAAGGUGGGGAUGACGUCAAAUCAUCACGGCCCUUACGUCCUGGGCUACACGUGCUACAAUGGUAGGUACAGAGAGCAGCCACUACGCGAGUAGGAGCGAAUCUAAAACCUAUCACAGUUCGGAUCGGAGUCUGCAACUCGACUCCGUGAAGCUGGAAUCGCUUAAUCGGAUAUCAGCCAUGAUCCGGUGAAUACGUUCCCGGGCCUUGUACACACCGCCCCAAGCCAUGGAAGCUGGGAGUGCCUGAAGUCCGUCACCGUAAGGAGCGGCCUAGGGUAAUCGGUAACUAGGGCUAAGUC